GCCGCGUUGGCUGUGUCAGCUGUUGUGUCGCCCUGUACCUCACCGUUGUGAUAAGUGUUCAGUUAUCACUCAUUUUUAGGUUAUGUUCAGUUACUGUAACAUUUAGUUUAGUAAAUCAAACAUAUUAUUAUUUGUGAUACGUUUGUAAACUUUGGAUACAUUUGAAGUUUUCAACAAAGUUUUGUUUUCAAAAUGUUUGUGAUAAUUUUCCAAAAAGCCGAACUGGAUUAAAAUGAAAAUUGAAUUGUGUUUUUUGUGUUCAUUUCAUUUAUGUUUUUUGUGUUCCAUAAAUAUUUACAAGUGAGGAAUUGAGUGAAGUGAAACCAUGUGGGAGAUUGCUUUGUGUUUUGUUUACCUGGAUUAUUUAUACACGCUCAGCUUGGAUUGUAGUUGAAGGCUCGAAGCUACAUGGGGAUACAUAUGGAUAACUUUCCAAAAGAGGAUUAAUAGGUGGGGAUCGAUAGCAAUAGGAGUGUGGUAAGCUGUUACAAUAAUUUCCUUACAUAAG